GGAUGCCUUCGUAGUGACGGGAGGAAACAUCUGUGUGAUGCCAAAGAUAAUUUGUUGCUGGAUUUCUGGAUUGUAUCAAUUCCCAGGAGCUCCUAACAAGCAUCACAACUGGUGGUAAGAAGAGAAGCUUAGUUAUAUAGAGGAAAUGCUCCUCACUUUGAAGAUCUUUUUUGAAGGGCCAAUGGAGAAAUGCCAUGAAAUUAAAGAUAUUUCAGAGAAAAAAAGGAGGGAAUCACAUAGACACAAG